AACACUGUUAACCUGCGGUACCUGCGGAAGGAUCAUUACAGAGUGUUUAACCCCCUGUAAAAUGGUGGGUCUAACCUCCCGUCCUUUGCUGGGUCCCCCUUCUGGAGGACUUUCAAAACUUUCUGCUUCGGCGGGGUAUACCCGCCGGAACACCCUCAAAAAAUUCUUGAUCAAAAUGGUUCGGUCCGAGAAACUUUUUGUGAAAAUUAGCGAAAAACUUUUAACAAUGGAUCUCAGAUC
rnacentral:misc_RNA from 1 species